rnacentral:rRNA from 1 species
AGUCGAACGGCAGCGCGGGGCAACCUGGCGGCGAGUGGCGAACGGGUGAGUAAUAUAUCGGAACGUACCCAAGAGUGGGGGAUAACGUAGCGAAAGUUACGCUAAUACCGCAUACGAUCUAAGGAUGAAAGUGGGGGAUUCGCAAGAACCUCAUGCUCCUGGAGCGGCCGAUAUCUGAUUAGCUAGUUGGUGAGGUAAAGGCUCACCAAGGCGACGAUCAGUAGCUGGUCUGAGAGGACGACCAGCCACACUGGAACUGAGACACGGUCCAGACUCCUACGGGAGGCAGCAGUGGGGAAUUUUGGACAAUGGGCGCAAGCCUGAUCCAGCAAUGCCGCGUGAGUGAAGAAGGCCUUCGGGUUGUAAAGCUCUUUUGUCAGGGAAGAAACGGCCUGGGUUAAUACCUUGGGCUAAUGACGGUACCUGAAGAAUAAGCACCGGCUAACUACGUGCCAGCAGCCGCGGUAAUACGUAGGGUGCAAGCGUUAAUCGGAAUUACUGGGCGUAAAGCGUGCGCAGGCGGUUUUGUAAGUUUGUCGUGAAAGCCCCGGGCUCAACUUGGGAAUUGCGAUGAAGACUGCAAGGCUUGAAUCUGGCAGAGGGGGGUAGAAUUCCACGUGUAGCAGUGAAAUGCGUAGAGAUGUGGAGGAACACCGAUGGCGAAGGCAGCCCCCUGGGUCAAGAUUGACGCUCAUGCACGAAAGCGUGGGGAGCAAACAGGAUUAGAUACCCUGGUAGUCCACGCCCUAAACGAUGUCUACUAGUUGUCGGGUUUUAAUUAACUUGGUAACGCAGCUAACGCGUGAAGUAGACCGCCUGGGGAGUACGGUCGCAAGAUUAAAACUCAAAGGAAUUGAC